AUGGUCAAGAAGAGGGAGGACUUCCAUGCAACCCACGUGGACCGUAGUGUGAUGGGUCCAACAAGUGUCAAUGUUUCAAAUGAAGGCUUUCACCCUGCUGACCCCAGAGUGGGAAGGGGUCUCGCCUAGUAGGAAGAGCACCGAGGCUUCCCCAGGAGAAGAAGGAACGGCUCCCACUUUCUCUGUGAGGCCGUGUGUCUGGACCUGUGUGACUUGCUUUCUAUAGUAGCCCCGGUUGGGGUAUUGUACCCAUUUCACAGAUCAAACAACCAAGGUUCUCAGGAGUUAAAGACACGUUUAAGAUGCCAAAGCUCACAAGUGGCCAGUUUGAUGCUGAAGCCAAUGUUAUUAUCACCAUCUCAGCGCAAAAGCCAUGAAGGCCACUUAAUUCUACCAACCGUCAACCAUCUUGUCAUAAGACACAUCCUUGACCCAAAGCAGUGUAGCUCAUGUGAAUACAGAUUGCAAAUUCAAUUGCAGAAGCAUAGAGAGGCACAGGAAGAGGCAUCUGUGA